rnacentral:rRNA from 1 species
AGAGUUUGAUCCUGGCUCAGGACGAACGCUGGCGGCGUGCCUAAUACAUGCAAGUCGAGCGAAUCCCUUCGGGGGUUAGCGGCGGACGGGUGAGUAACACGUAGGCAACCUGCCUGUAAGUCCGGGAUAACUAUCGGAAACGAUAGCUAAUACCGGAUACGCAGCUGGAGGGCAUCCUCUGGCUGGGAAAGACGGUGCAAGCUGUCCCUUACGGAUGGGCCUGCGGCGCAUUAGCUAGUUGGCGGGGUAACGGCCCACCAAGGCGACGAUGCGUAGCCGACCUGAGAGGGUGAUCGGCCACACUGGGACUGAGACACGGCCCAGACUCCUACGGGAGGCAGCAGUAGGGAAUCUUCCGCAAUGGGCGAAAGCCUGACGGAGCAACGCCGCGUGAGUGAUGAAGGUUUUCGGAUCGUAAAGCUCUGUUGCCAAAGAAGAACAGCUUGGAGAGUAACUGCUCUGAGUGUGACGGUAUUUGAGAAGAAAGCCCCGGCUAACUACGUGCCAGCAGCCGCGGUAAUACGUAGGGGGCAAGCGUUGUCCGGAAUUAUUGGGCGUAAAGCGCGCGCAGGCGGCGAUUUAAGUUUGGUGUUUAAGCCCGAGGCUCAACCUCGGUUCGCACUGAAAACUGGAUCGCUUGAGUGCAGGAGAGGGAAGCGGAAUUCCACGUGUAGCGGUGAAAUGCGUAGAGAUGUGGAGGAACACCAGUGGCGAAGGCGGCUUCCUGGCCUGUAACUGAGCUGANNNNNGAAAGCGUGGGGAGCAAACAGGAUUAGAUACCCUAGUAGUCC